rnacentral:snRNA from 1 species
AUCACUUCUCAGCCUUUUGGCUAAGAUCAAGUGUAGUAUCUGUUCUUAUUAUAAUAUUGCAUAUUCAACCAAUAGUCGAUACAAGGUUGGUUGUUAUCUGACAUGAACCAACACUGA